rnacentral:lncRNA from 1 species
GGUACAUAUGUCAUAACUGACUUAACCACUAUCCUUUGGUUGAAUUGUUUUCUUUUCUUUGCUUUUCUCCCCCAAUAUUAUAUGCCCCAGCCUCGAAGGGAGAUGACAUAACCUGGGCUACUACAACAUGGAAUUCUGGGAGUGAGACCCUGUGAAGCCAAAUUAAAGGUUGCUAAGGAAACAUGGCAACAGCACUCACGUGAUCUCCCUGCUCUAGAGAGAAUCUGGCCCAGCACAGUCACUAAGUCAGGAGGAGGGAAGCAAACUUGAGAUAGAUCCCAGGCAGUAAUUCGUGUUCAAAGGGAAAUAAAACUCUAAGGAAAAGGACUGAGGUCAUGGCAUUAGAAGAAGAAACGGAGGAGUCAUUUGAAAGAUAUCCAGAUCUUUCAGAAAUGGUGAGAAGGAACAAGAAAAUACUUCAGAAUAUUUUGCUGAGAAAUUUGCCUCACAAUUUGGGAGUAACGUCCAAGACCUAAGGAGAUAAGAAGUAUCUCAGGCCAAAAAAAAAAAAAAAGGCAAAUAAGCAAAUACCAUCUUCCUUUCCUCAACCUGGCCAGGAUAGAUUGACUAAGAUGUUGCCCGACAGGAUUGCCAAGCUUCGUGUUUCUCUCCGGGCACUUUUGCACAUGGUCUUAACACAGGAUAGGAACAUUUCAGAACUUGAUUCAUCAAUGAUCUACAUUUUGGCUGGAAAGUUCUGUUUUAAACUGAAGAUUCAAUUCAAGACCAUGUGUUUCUCACCAAAUACCCAGGUCAAGUGUUUUUCAUUUCAGAUAAAAGAGUCUCAAGUGAGCAAAACUAUUUUAUGUUUCUUUCUUGGGGCUUCAGCUCAAAGCUGGUACAAAUGCACCCUCAUUCCAUUGCCAAAUGAAGUCACAUGGCCAAGCCUGAAGUCAAUGGCACAGGAAAGUAUUCCAG